GAGAUUCAAUCCACGCGUUGGAUUAAAGUCGCCCCGAAACCCGGAAAAGCUGUUGGCGCGUGGAGAGCGUGUAAGGGGACCGAGGGAAUCUCGAGGCGCUGUGGCAGACAGCUGUAGCCGAAAGCAGAUUUGACUGCCGUAAAUCACGGAAGGGAUAAGCCGUGACACAAGUGGGCCGUACUUGGGCCUGUCUCGGAUCAAGGCAUCACUGUAGCUGUGGGUGGAGGCCUGAUGGGCCGAGUUUCAGAAACAGUUUUGGACAUGAUGGGCCGAGUUUCUGAAACAGUUUUGGAUGAGUUGGGCCGGAUUUCUGUAACAGUUUUGGAUACGUUGGGCUGGGUUUCUGCAACAGUCUUGGAUGUUUUGGGCCGAAUUGUUUAAACAGUUGAAACAGUUGGUUUAAAUAAAAGGAUUUGUAUGGAUAAUAACGUGAGCAGCCGUGCUCGAGUGGUUGAGUGUACAGUUCGUGUACAAGAGGUCUGAGGUUCGAACCUCGCCUCUCGUUUAUUUUUAUUAUGUUCGUUAUGACAUAAUAAGUAUAAAAUUUGUACACAUUAUAUUAAGCACAGCUUGUGCUCCAGUGGUUGGGGGACAAAGGUUUCGUGCGGCAGGUUGAGGUUUCGAACCUUGCCUUCCCCGUUAUUUUAUUUAUGUCGCUUAUGACAUAAUAAAUAUAACACGUGAGCAUAUAUUAAUGAAGGCAGCUCUUGCUUCAGUGGUUGGGAGCAAAACCUUCGUGUUCGAGGUCGGGAGUUCGAACCUUACCUCUUACAAAUAUUUUUGGAUCUCGUAUAUGCUUGAUAUACGGACGUGUAUACGGUAUGUACGGUAUACAUACGUAUAUACGGUCUGUACGGUAUGUAUACGUAUAUACAGUUGUACAGUAUGCAUACGUAUAUACGGUCUGUACGGUAUACAUACGUAUAUACAGUUGUACGGUAUGCAUACGUAUAUACGGUCUGUACGGUAUGCAUACGUAUAUACGGUAUGUACAAUUUCAUACCGUAGCCGAGCUGGAAGUUGGUGGGCCGAUUGGUAGGCCCAAAUAGUAAGCCCAAUUGUUCGGCCCGAUUGGUAGGCCCAAUUGUUCGGCCCGAAUGGUAGGCCCAAAUGGUAGGCCCAAAUGUUAAGCCCAAUCGUUCGGCCCGAAUAGUAGGCCCAAAUGUUAAACCCAAAGUGGUUUGGGCCAGUUCGAAAUGUGGAUGGUUCGGUUUCUUCGGCUCAAUUGGCCAGCCUUAAUGCUUAGCCCAAGGAUUGAGCAAGCCCAAGUCAUCAUCACUGGGUCACAUGUUUUAUUGGCGUGCUUUGGAGAAUGAUUUGUUUUGAGUGAUGCUAAUUGAGUAGCGAAACGCUUUGUGGGAGUGUUUACUGUGCUUGUAUGCCAGUACAGGGUGAAGAUCUAUGUGAGGAUCUAUGAGAUAAUCUCUGUGAAGAUCUAAGUAAUGAUCUAUGUGAUGAUCCAUGUGAUGAUUUUGUGUAAUUGAUGUGGAGUGAUGUUGAGCAGUUGUGUUGUGAGUUUACGUUUGUGAUGAAAGGAUUUAGUGGCCAUAGGAAUGUAUUUUUAUACAAAGGGCAGAGGCUUUGUAGAUUACUACAGAUUUGGAAAAGAUGGAGAUUCUAUAGUUAGGUCAACCUUAAUCGAGAGGAAUUGACUUACGCUUAAAUUUCGGGACGAAAUUUCUUUAAGGAGGGUAGAUUGUAAUACCCCGAAAAAUCCAAAUUAAAUUAUGUGGAUUUUUAGAAAUGAUUUCACGAUAGUGGGAGCGAGUACGAGGCUCGGAGGAAUUGUGGAAUUAGUUCGAACGAUUAAUUUUCGAAAAACGAACGUUAUUUAGGGGGUCUCAAAAAGUGACUUUUUAUACAUUGGGAAUUUGGGAAAACUUCCUUCAUGAAAGUUGUAGAGGACAUUAAACCGAGUGCGUGCAUAUGUGGUACGUAAAAAUCGGAGUUCGUAUGCGAAAGUUAUAAGCAAAAUAUGAAAGUUACUGUUUAUGGUAGAUUGGUAUAAAUUUGAAAUGUUACUGUAGCCAGGUAACUUUUCUUUCUUUUCUCUCUCCUUCCCCCGUGCUCUCUCAGUCUCUCUCUUCUGCAACUCUCUCUUUCUCUCUUCUGCAACCUCCUCUUUCACCACCUCUAGACCACCAAAUGGCGAGCUGCGAGCAUCGAUAGACUCGUCUCUUCCUCCUUAUCACGCAUGUGGGAGUUGUUUACGACGAUUUGGCCGGAAAUGUGGAGAUCGAAGCCAACAUUUUUACUGUAGCAAAUUAGUCAACGCCGAUUUCCGGCCACCUCCAGUCAUAAACCCAGGUCCAUUAGAAGCGCCUUAAGCCGCUCUUCAUGCUCGCCAAGUCUCAUAACCCAGAUCGAAGCAUGGAGGAAGAAAGCAUAAUUGGAAAAUUUCACUGUACAUCGGAGUGCUUAAUUGUUCGGCUACUUCAAGGUGAUUGACGGUUUGAGUUGGUGGACGAUUGUGGAUCGUAUUUUGAGCUGAAUUGAAGACGCAGCGGGAUUAUCGAGCGGGUAAUCCUACAGGACAGGAGAACCAGGACGGUGACCGUGCGGUUAGAGCAAUUGUUAGAGUUUUACAGCAAUUGUAAGUUGUGAGGUGUGUUAUGCUCAUUUAGAGCUUUACAAUAUUGCUUGUGAGAGUGAAUUGUAAUAAUGAACUCGAGGUUUCGAGAUUUGGAGUUUGUGUACCUUGUGGUGAGAUUAUAUUGAGAAAAAAAUUCAGAACGUUUAUUUGAUUAAGUGGUUUAAUUCAUGUUUCGGAUUUGAAUUUAUUAUU